CGGGACGUGGCGCAGCCUGGUAGCGCACUUGAAUGGGGUUCAAGGGGUCGCGGGUUCGAAUCCCGCCGUCCCGACCA
rnacentral:tRNA from 2 species